rnacentral:rRNA from 1 species
UUCCAGAUUGAAUAUACCCGAUCUCGUCUGAUCUCGGAAGUCAAGCAAUCUCGGGCUUGGUUAGUACUUGGAUGGGUGACCGCUUGGGAAUACCAAGUGAGAUAAGCA